rnacentral:tRNA from 1 species
GUUUGUGGCUCAGUGGUAGAGCACUUGCCUAGCAUGUGUGAGGCACUGGGUUCAAUCCCCUGCACUACA